rnacentral:rRNA from 1 species
GACGAACGCUGGCGGCGUGCUUAACACAUGCAAGUCGAGCGGUAAGGCCCUUCGGGGUACACGAGUGGCGAACGGGUGAGUAACACGUGGGUGAUCUGCCCUGCACUUCGGGAUGAGCCUGGGAAACUGGGUCUAAUACCGGAUAGGACCACUGCCUGCAUGGGUGGUGGUGGAAAGCUUUUGCGGUGUGGGAUGGGCCCGCGGCCUAUCAGCUUGUUGGUGGGGUGAUGGCCUACCAAGGCGACGACGGGUAGCCGGCCUGAGAGGGUGACCGGCCACACGGGGACUGAGAUACGGCCCAGACUCCUACGGGAAGAAGGCGUGGGGAGUAUGUCACAAUGGGCGCAAGCCUGAUGCAGCGACGCCGCGUGAGUGAUGACGGCCUUCGGGUUGUAAACCUCUUUCAGCACCGAGACAGCGCAAGUGACGGUAGGUGCAGAAGAAGGACCGGCCAACUACGUGCCAGCCGCCGCCGUAA